rnacentral:rRNA from 1 species
UACGAAGGGUGCAAACGUUGCUCGGAAUCAUUGGGCGUAAAGCGCACGUAGGCGGUUCUUCAAGUCGGAUGUGAAAGCCCUCGGCUCAACCAAGGAAGUGCAUCCGAAACUGAAGAACUUGAGUAUCAAAGAGGAUAGCGGAAUUCCCGGUGUAGAGGUGAAAUUCGUAGAGAUCGGGAGGAACAUCAGUGGCGAAGGCGGCUAUCUGGGUGAUUACUGACGCUGAGGUGCGAAAGCGUGGGGAGCAAACAGG